rnacentral:sRNA from 1 species
UAUUAUUAAUUCUAUCAUCAAACAUACGUCUAUUGAGAACACAUCAGGGCAUCAUCAUACAAGAAGGUGAGGUCCUACAUUCUAGCUCCAGUAUUCUUAACCCCCACAAAACUGAAAUCGACUCGUCCCUCGUAACUCGAAGUUGCUCAAGAAAAAUGGUCAGAAUAUCAAAGCGAAGGUGCUAAAAUAAGGAACCUAAGCAACUUGUGACGCUUGAAAAUUUUGUGAUUCGGAAUACUCCUCUUUGGAUCGUCCUCUCAAGCAGUCUUCUGUUUCGCUGACGUGGAGGAAAGGUAAGAUAGAGCCCUAUGGCCCACAAACACAAGGAAGACACCAAGGAAGCUGAGGUACUUCAGGGUUGUGAAAAGAUCCAGCUAUUACAACAAGAAUGAAUAACGUAGAGCAGCAGCACUGCUCCAAUUCCAGCAUGGAAAAGUGAGGCAAAUGCUGCGGGUGCUGGCAAGGACGGGAAGUUCUUCAAGUUUACCCCGAGACGCAUAAGCCCAAUCAAGAACCCAACAAUAGGCAGAAGCGUGAGGCCCGUAAACGCAAAUGAGAGUUCCUUGGGUGGCCUCUUCUCUGGUGAACGGAAUAUGUGCGAUAUUUCCUUCUUCGGACCAAAUUUUGAG